GAUGAAGAACGCAGCGAAAUGCGAUAAGUAGUGUGAAUUGCAGAAUUCAGUGAAUCAUCGAAUCUUUGAACGCACAUUGCGCCCCUUGGUAUCCCGAGGGGCAUGCCUGUUCGAGCGUCAUUUCACCACUCAAGCCUGGCUUGGUGUUGGGCGACGUCUUCUUUGGGGACGCGCCUCGAAACGCUCGGCGGCGUGGCACCGGCUUUAAGCGUAGCAGAAUCUUUCGCUUUGGAAGUCGGGGCCCCGUCUGCCGGAAGACCUGCUCGCAAGGUUGACCUCGGAUCAGGCAGGGAUACCCGCUGAACUUAAGCAUAUCAAUAAGCGGAGGA
rnacentral:misc_RNA from 1 species